UGGCCAAUCGGAUCAAGCGGAUGCAGUGAUUUUUUGACUGGAGGGGAGAGCUACAGCUGCUAAUGCGGAUGGACUGAUGCCAUACCGAGAGAGCCGACUGGUGGAGGAGCUCUGUAAGGAUUUGCACAGAGAGAUUGCCACUGUGGAUGAUGAGCGCCGCGAUAUCGAGGUGAAGGUGGCCAGGAAUGAGAGAGAGGGCACAAUCAUGGAGGAAAUGGACUUUGAGCGGCGCCGGGAGCUGAGGAGGCAGAAGCGGGAGGAGAUGCGCCUGGAGGCCGAAAGGUUGGCGAGGAAUGAUGAUGAUGAAGAAGAGGCGGCCCGCGAGAGGAGGCGCAGGGCACGCCAGGAGAGACUGAGGGGCAGGGAGGGCGAGGAGCCCAGUGGACAGCCAGACAAUCUGGUCAUCACCAACAGCCACAGUGUGACAGAGACAGUGUCUGUGAGCAGCUCUUGUGGAGGCGGUGGAGAGGAAGAGGACCAAGCGCUGCUGGACCGCAUGGCCAUGCGCGAGGAGAGACGGCAGAGACGCAUGCAAGAGGCACUGGAGAGGCAGAAGCAGAUGGACCCCACCGUGACAGAGGACAACGGCAGUGUCGCCGCGGAGAAAAACAACGAGGAAGAGGAGAGGCCCUCCUCCUGGCGUAGGGGUCGUUACCGUGAUAAUGAGGAGGAAGAGGAGAAGACGUCCGCAUACAGCUCAAGGAGAGAGGAGAAGCAGCGAGAGGAGCCGAGAGAGGAAGGGGAGACCCCUCCUGAGGGUGGAGAGGAACCAGAGGAGGGGGUAGAUGAAGAGGAGGAGGAGGAGUUUAAAGAGGAAGUGGUGGAGGACAAACCAAGGAGGUCUUACUUGAGGGAACAGGAAUCAACUGAAGAGCCUAGAACUCAAAACGAGGAUCUCGCUGAAGACGAGGCACAUUCAGUAGUCAGUGAGAGUUCAACUCAGGCCGCGUCAGCAAAUUCAGAGGCUGAGGAGGAUGCAGUAGAAUCAGGCGAGACUGAAGAGGUGAAUGAGAGAGGCGGUGCCAGGGAGGAGAGGGAGGAGCAGAGGAAGCAGAACGGAGGGCUGCACGAGGAGGCGGCUCCCAACCAACACAGGAAACCUGAGAGGACCCUCAGUCGCGGCAGCGUGCGUUCCCCCGAGGUGUCCGCAGGCGACGACCAGGACGACGACGCCCGCCUGGAAGCGGAGCUCAAGCUGGAGGAGCUGAAGCGUCGCCGUGAUGACGCAGAGAGCGAGGAGUUUGAGAAGAUGAGGCAUAAGCAGCUGGAGGCUGAAGCCGAGCUGGAGGAGCUGAAGAGGAAGAGGGAGGACAGGAGGAAGGUGCUGGAGGAGGAAGAGAGGCAGAAGAAGCAGGAGGAGAUGGAAAGGAAAACCAGAGAGGAGGAGGAGAAGAGGAAGAUGAAGGAGGAGAUUGAAAGGAGGAGAGCCGAGGCGGCCGAGAAGAGGCAGAAGGUGGAUGACGUUGUAGACGGGGACGAUAAGCCCUUCAAGUGUGUCAGCCCCCGGGGCUCCUCUCUGAAGAUUGGAGAGAGGGCAGAGUUCCUGAACAAGUCGGCACAGAAAAGCACCGUGAAGGCGGCUCAUUCUACUGUGGUGUCCAAGAUAGACAACAGGCUGGAGCAAUACACCUCAGCUGCUCAGAGAGAGAACAAGGAGUCCCGAUCCCCUCGCUCCGGAGCAGUGGAUUUGCCCAUGGUCACAGACAGCAUACGAAACAUCAAGAGCAUGUGGGAGAAAGGCAACGUGUUCGGCUCGCCUGGAAGUGGCGGGAACACGUUCAAGGAAGCAGCUGUGAUGAAGACAGGCGUGGCGGGCCGCAUCAACGACUGGCUGAAUAAAACCCCGGAGAGCGGCAAAGCAUCAGGAGGAAGGCCAGCGGACCUGAAGCCUGUGGACGUCACCAACAAGAGGAGUCUAUGGGAAAACAAAGGUGCUUCUCCAACCAAGAACUCUCUUAGCUAGUUGACUUCACCGUUAAAUCUGGAAUAAGCCUGGAGAGGUGGCAGGCAGGGGGGAGACCAAAUCAGUCGCCAACGGGAUGGGACACUAAUAAUGUCUUGAAGAAGCCACCAAAGCUGGGGACCAACGACAAUCCAAGACGCUUCCUCUGACUUUGUCUUUAGAACCAAAUAAUGACCACACUCCCAAGAGGGACCCCAAGAAAACUCGUGGGACAAGAGAGACGCUGUCCAAGCACCGUACUCAAAACAAGAUCACAUUUUUUUGUGUACGGUUGCCACGAAUAGUGCUUUUGCACAAUGAUUUUUUUUUUGCUUUCUAAAAGAAACAAAAUGCUGUGAAAUUUGGACAUUUGUAAUUACUGUUACUAAUUACUUAAUACAAUCCUGCCAGGAAGGAAGGAAAACAAAUUAAAUUUAGACGUAGCUGUUGGCUCAGCGCCAACAGUUUUCAUAGAGACAGAGUAGAUGAGUUAAAAGUUUCCACAUUCCAAAGAGAUGGGUGAAAUCAGUUCUCUCCCUCAUACAGAUCAUUUUCCAUCUCUCUCUUUUUUUUAUUUAUAUUUAAAGCAAAAGCUUCACACAUAGCUAUUUUAUUCAACGUUCACCAGUUCAGGAUAGAAAUAUAAGCACUUAUAGAAUUUAGCUGAUUUCACUUUUUAUUUUGUCUUACCAAUAGUGCAGCAAUGGUCUGAGUAAUAUAUGUUAGCACAUGUGACGUUUUGAAUAUGACCUAUCAUACUGUAUCGUAUAUAUAACAUCUUUAUACUCGAAACAAAAGGUAUUUUUGCUCUCUUUUUGUAUCCACAAACUACUCACCAACAAGAAAUCCGUUUUCGAGGUGAAAGGAGUGUUGAAUAUUCGGAAGGCCAUUAUGACUUUUAUUAUCCCUUAUGUCAUUUUAUUUAUGUUUUAAUAUGUUUUUUGUUCCUUUCUAUUUCUAGCUGUCGUUUGUAGCUUUUGUACCUGUUAGAUCACUUUAAAAUCUUCAGACAUUCCUCUCUUAAAACUCGGGUGCACAAGGUGCCUUCACUGCUUCAUAGCUGUAGGUUUUAUAAUGUGGGAAAUCGGCAAAUCACCUUUUUUUCUUAUUCUAUCUUCUAUAUGUUGCCUGUGUGCACUCUUAUGCUCAAGUAAAAUCAGGGUGCCUCAGCAUAUAGCAAGAUACUAGUACAGUACAAGGAUAUUUACCACUAUGUAAUUCUUCCGGCCUUAUGAUUGCAAUGACGACAGCUGAGGUACAUAAAAGCCUCAUAACUCAGUACGAUGUUAAGACUGAUUUUCACAUUUAUUUUUCACUAACACGGCCUUUAAGUAGCACAUUCCCUUUCAAUUGUUUAUGUGCGGCACAAGCUUUGACAAGCGUAUGAAUGGUUUUGCCGGGGCAUUAAAUUGAUCCAUGUUACUGCUCAAAAGUCUGACAAUCACAUUCCACGGCUCCUGAAAAGAGCAGGGGAGCUUGACCAAAAUAUUUUAGAGCGUGAUUUAAUGUGACAUUUGUUUUGUUUUUUUAAUACAGUGGUUUCAUAAUUCUGCAUUGUUUUUUUUCUACAACCUUGUGUCCAUUUUAUGUUUUAUGUUUUUUUAAAUUCUUUAAUUUCCAUGUUUAACCAGACACCUGUUGUUUGUGUAAUGCUGCGCCUAUGCAAAACACACUUAUGUGUAGUCUCUCUGAACACUACCAAUGUCAUACAAGUGGGCAGUUUCCAACUGGAUGGAUGUUUAAAACAUUGUACCCUUUUAAUCAACAACAGCAAUAAAGACAUUGAGGUAUUCCA